AUCAGUUACCUGGUUAUAAGCAACUAUCUCUUAGAAUAUAUAUGAUCAGUUAGCUGUUUACACAAACCCUUCUUUUGUAUACGUAUUUAAUCAGUUAGAUGGCUUUAAGUGGCUUUCCUGUAGCCUACACGUAAGCCCCAUAAUUCACAAAUGAGCCAGGCUAAUACCAUAACUGGCGUAAGGCUUGGCGAGGCGGGCACCUUUGAGCAGCACGCGACUCACCAACGGGACGGAUCAGCUGACAAGUUUAUGGACCAUUUAGAGAUCAGGAUCAAGAGCUGCUCGGACAGCCAAGACAGUGACGUAAUGCCACACAGGUGGACUCAGGUGCUGCUAAUUGACUCACAGAGACUGAGGGAAGGAUGAGCAGAAGAGAUGAGAAGACGUGGAGAACAGAGAAAACAAAAACCUAAAGAAAACGAGAACAAACCUGAAGAGAAGGGAGAGACCUGAGGAAGAGGAAGCAAGACUCAGAGAAGAGACAGAGGAAGAGGAAAACAAACAAAAGGCCUGGAGACAAAACGAACAAUUGACAAGAGAAAAUAGAGGAUGGGAUGCCGGUUUGAAUUUACUGUCUGUCUGUCAUCUACACCUCCAUGGCUGGGCAGGGAAGACAGCACAGGUGAUGUUAACUGGUGGUGAUGAUGGAGAUUGCAGUGAUGGCAGUGUUGGUAAUGAAGAUUGCAGUGGUGAGGACGUGGUAAUGGUGACAGUGGUAGUGGUGACCUGCAAUGGAAGUGGUGAUGUAUGGUGCUCCCUACUCCACCACCACCACAGUCUUGUCUUUCUUUAUUCUGUAAAUGUGGAAGAGAUUAAUACACUAGUUACUGUUAGACACUAGUCACUAGUUACCUAUUGUAAUGUUAUCUGGGACUUGAAAUCUUUAACAGGUGGACAGAUAGUACUUAGUUAUUUUUUUCAUUAAUCAUGUUUCUGAAAAUGUACCUGGGAACUAAUAAUAAUAAUAAACAUUUGCUUAAUUACCAAUCAAUCUGAGGACAUCUUUACUUGUUCUGUAGCCACUUCUGAUCUUUAAACUGAGAAGAAACUGAGAAAUCUAUCCUUUUCAGUCCCCUUCUUUCUUGAUGUUUAUAAGGAUUUCAUGCAUUACUUCUGGUUCUGUUAAGUCUGUAUUGCAAUGAAAGGGUUAAUAUCUAUUGUAAUAUCACCUGGGGUUUCAAGGUGGACAGGUGAACAGACACACACACACACACACAAUGUUCUAUUCUCACUAUUCUCAUUAGUUAGUAAAAAUGUACCAGAGAAUUAAUAAAAACACCUCAUUA